UGGCUGUCGUCAGCUCGUGCCGUGAGGUGUCGGAUUAAGUUGCAUAACGAGCGCAACCCCUAUUUCUAGUUGCCAGCGAGUAAUGUCGGGGACUCUAGAGAAACUGCCCGCGUAAGCGGUGAGGAAGGUGGGGACGACGUCAAGUCAUCACGGCCCUUACGUCCAGGGCGACACACGUGCUACAAUGGUAGGGACAGUGAGUUGCAAGCCGGUAACGGUGAGCUAAUCUACGAACCCUAUCUCAGUUCGGAUCGAGGUCUGCAACCCGACCUCGUGAAGCUGGAAUCGCUAGUAAUCGCACAUCAGCCAUGAUGCGGUGAAUACGUUCCCGGGCCUUGUACACACCGCCCGUCAAGCCAUGGAAGUUGGGGGUGCAUAAAGUCGUACCGUAAG
rnacentral:rRNA from 1 species